rnacentral:tRNA from 1 species
GAGGGUAUAACUCAGUGGUAGAGUGUAUGCCCAGCAUACAUGAGGUCCUGGGUUCCAUCUCCAGUACCUCCA